GACAGCAAUGUAAAUACCUUAAAGGCACUAGAUCCUAUCGGAUCUUGGAAGCUAAGUAGGGUCAACUUUGGUUAGUACUUUUAUGGGAGACUGACCUUGGUUACCAGGUGAUUCAGGCU
rnacentral:rRNA from 11 species